GGUCAUGAGUACCAGCGUCAAGCCCCGGCUAGCUGGUCGGCAACCCUCCCUCCGCGGCGGGGUGCUCCGGGUGACGACCGGGCCGUAGCCCGACCGGGCACGGCAAGCGCGGACU
rnacentral:ncRNA from 1 species